rnacentral:rRNA from 1 species
UACGAAGGGGGCUAGCGUUGCUCGGAAUCACUGGGCGUAAAGGGUGCGUAGGCGGGUCUUUAAGUCAGGGGUGAAAUCCUGGAGCUCAACUCCAGAACUGCCUUUGAUACUGAAGAUCUUGAGCUUCGGGAGAGGUGAGUGGAACUGCGAGUGUAGAGGUGAAAUUCGUAGAUAUUCGCAAGAACACCAGUGGCGAAGGCGGCUCACUGGCCCGAUACUGACGCUGAGGCACGAAAGCGUGGGGAGCAAACAGG